UUAAACAUAAGAGUUUGAUCCUGGCUCAGAUUGAACGCUGGCGGCAUGCUUUACACAUGCAAGUCGAACGGCAGCACGGAGAGCUUGCUCUCUGGUGGCGAGUGGCGAACGGGUGAGUAAUGCAUCGGAACGUACCGAGUAAUGGGGGAUAACUGUCCGAAAGGAUGGCUAAUACCGCAUACGCCCUGAGGGGGAAAGCGGGGGAUCUAAGGACCUCGCGUUAUUUGAGCGGCCGAUGUUGGAUUAGCUAGUUGGUGGGGUAAAGGCCUACCAAGGCGACGAUCCAUAGCG
rnacentral:rRNA from 1 species